GAUGAAGAACGCAGCGAAAUGCGAUAAGUAAUGCGAAUUGCAGAAUUCCAGUGAGUCAUCGAAUCUUUGAACGCACAUUGCGCCCGCUGGUAUUCCGGCGGGCAUGCCUGUUCGAGCGUCAUUUCAACCCUCAAGCCCCCGGGUUUGGUGUUGGGGAUCGGCUCUGCCUUCUGGCGGUGCCGCCCCCGAAAUACAUUGGCGGUCUCGCUGCAGCCUCCAUUGCGUAGUAGCUAACACCUCGCAACUGGAACGCGGCGCGGCCAUGCCGUAAAACCCCAACUUCUGAAUGUUGACCUCGGAUCAGGUAGGAAUACCCGCUGAACUUAAGCAUAUCAAUAAGCGGAGGA
rnacentral:misc_RNA from 1 species